CAACUCUCUGCUGGAUAUUAGUGAAUGCUUCUGUUCCCGGGUUUUCAAAAACACCUCCUGUUUUGCCUGCUCACUGGCUGAGAAUAAAUCCUUUGGUAUUUCCAGAAAAGGGAGUUCGAUGACCUGAAGAGGAGAGAUCAUCCGGUACUAUUACAGGGCGUUGAGGAAACGUCACCUUUCUUACCUUGUAAUGGAAAAGGAACCAGCUGUUAGAACACGGCAUUAAUAAACAAGACAAUGUGAUGUGCCUGCAGUCUACAAAACCAGAUGUCAGGCUACGCCCAUCUGUACGAAUAAUGCCUACGAAAGGAAAGCUAUUUG